CACGUAGGGUGCGAGCGUUGUCCGGAAUUAUUGGGCGUAAAGAGCUCGUAGGCGGUGUGUCGCGUCGGCCGUGAAAACCUGCAGCUUAACUGUGGGCUUGCGGUCGAUACGGGCAUCACUGGAGUUCGGCAGGGGAGACUGGAAUUCCUGGUGUAGCGGUGAAAUGCGCAGAUAUCAGGAGGAACACCGGUGGCGAAGGCGGGUCUCUGGACCCCUCCUGACGCUGAGGCGCGAAAGCCAGGGGAGCAAACGGG
rnacentral:rRNA from 1 species